ACAUUUAUGGCACCAAUGUGCCAUGGAACCAGCAUUUGUGGCACCAAUGUCCCAUGGAACCAGCAUUUGUGGCACCAACGUGCCAUGGAACCAGCAUUUAUGGCACCAAUGUCCCAUUGAACCAGCAUUUGUGGCACCAAUGUCCCAUGGAACCAGCAUUUAUGGCACCAACGGGCCAUGGAACCAGCAUUUAUGGCACCAAUAGGCCAUGGAACCAGCAUUUAUGGCACCAACGUCCCAUGGAACCAGCAUUUAUGGCACCAAUGGGCCAUGGAACCAGCAUUUAUGGCACCAGUGUUCCAUGGAACCAGCAUUUAUGGUACCAAUGUCCCAUGGAACCAACAAUUAUGGCACCAAUGUCCCAUGGAACCAGCAUUUAUGGCACCAACACCUCCAUCGCACCGAUGUCAGACAGAACCAACAUCUCAAGACACCAAGCUGUGCCCGAAUGCCACAGACCCCAAGUUUUCCUCUACAAGAGCCACUGACCCCAGUUUUUGUGCUAUAAAUGCCACAGACCCCCAGUUUUGGGGCUCUCGAAGCCACAGACCCCCAGUUUUGGGGCUCUCGAAGCCACAGACCCCCAGUUUUCCUCCCCUCACCUCCGGGUCGCAGCUCUGCCCCGCCAGCGGGCACGCCGACUCGUUGAAGAUUUUGUACACUGCUUCGUUGGAGGUGGAGAGGAAACUGCGCGCAGCUUCGUUAAGGAAACACCAACCAGCAAAGGAACCCCAAAGGAACCCCAAAAGGGGAAACGGGAAGUGGGAAGGGAAAUGGGGAAGGAGGGAAGGGGAAACAAAGGGGGGAGGGUAGGGGAGAAGGAGGGGAGGGAAUGGGGAGAAGGAAGGGAGAAGGAAGUGGGAGGGAAGGGAAGGGAAACAAAAGGGAAAAGGGGAAAUAAGGGGGUGUGGGAAGGGGAAAUAAGGGGGUGUGGGAAGGGGAAAUAAGGGGGUGUGGGAAGGGGAAAUAAGGGGGUGUGGGAAGGGGAAAUAAGGGGGUGUGGGAAGGGGAAAUAAGGGGGUGUGGGAAGGGGAAAUAAGGGGGUGUGGGAAGGGGAAAUAAGGGGGUGUGGGAAGGGGAAAUAAGGGCGUACGGGAAGGGGAAAUAAUGGGGUGUGGGAAGAAAAACAAAAGGAGAAGGGGGAAAAGGAAAAAAGAUGGAAGGGGAAAGGAAAGGGGAAAGGAAGAGAAAGGUAAAGGGAAGGAAAAAAGAAGUGGGAAGGGG
rnacentral:lncRNA from 1 species